UACAGAGGGGGCAAGCGUUGUUCGGAAUUACUGGGCGUAAAGGGCGCGUAGGUGGCCUUCUAAGUUGAACGUGAAAUCCCUGGGCUCAACCCAGGAACUGCGUCCAAGACUGGGAGGCUUGAAUCCGGGAGAGGGAUGCGGAAUUCCAGGUGUAGCGGUGAAAUGCGUAGAUAUCUGGAGGAACACCGGUGGCGAAGGCGGCAUCCUGGACCAAUAUUGACGCUGAGGAGCGAAAGCCAGGGGAGCAAACGGG
rnacentral:rRNA from 1 species